GACGAACGCUGGCGGCGUGCUUAACACAUGCAAGUCGAGCGGUAAGGCCCUUUCGGGGGUACGCGAGCGGCGAACGGGUGAGUAACACGUGGGUGACCUGCCCUCAGCUCUGGGAUAAGCCUGGGAAACCGGGUCUAAUACUGGAUAUGACUCCAUGACGCAUGUUGUGGGGUGGAAAGCCUUGUGCGGCUGAGGAUGGGCCCGCGGCCUAUCAGCUUGUUGGUGGGGGAUGGCCUACCAAGGCGACGACGGGUAGCCGGCCUGAGAGGGCGACCGGCCACACUGGGACUGAGACACGGCCCAGACUCCUACGGGAGGCAGCAGUGGGGAAUCUUGCGCAAUGGGCGAAAGCCUGACGCAGCGACGCCGCGUGAGGGAUGACGGCCU
rnacentral:rRNA from 1 species